rnacentral:rRNA from 1 species
UACGUAGGGUGCGAGCGUUGUCCGGAAUUAUUGGGCGUAAAGAGCUCGUAGGCGGUUUGUCGCGUCGGCCGUGAAAACUUGGGGCUUAACUCCAAGCUUGCGGUCGAUACGGGCAGACUUGAGUUCGGCAGAGGAGACUGGAAUUCCCGGUGUAGCGGUGAAAUGUGUAGAGAUCGGGAGGAACACCGGUGGCGAAGGCGGCAUCCUGGACCGGUAUUGACGCUGAGGCGCGAAAGCCAGGGGAGCAAACGGG